rnacentral:lncRNA from 1 species
AUAUCAAACUUUAUCAUAUAUUUAGUACAAAAUACAGCUAUUUUGUAUAUCUAAUAAAGGUUGUUUUUCCAGUCUGUAUCACCUAUCCUGUAUCGCAUACCCCGUAUCGCAUAGCUUAACCCGUAUCGCAUACCCCGUAUCGCAUGGUAAAACCCGUAUCGCAUACCUUUUUUUUUUUUUUUUUUUUUUUUACAUAAAGUUUUUUGUUUUUUUUUUGCUUAAGAAAAAAUUUCCUCAAAAUAGGUCAUUUUUUUUAAUGACUUCAUUGUUUGGUAUGUAACGUCACGAACGUCAAGUUUUCAUAUUGUAUGUGACGUCACGAACAUCAAGUUUGCAUAUUUGUUGGCACACUAAAUGCAACUAUAAAAAAUACAAAACACUCAAAUAAAUACAAUAAUAAACAAAAUAUUUUUAAAACAGCAGCAGGCAAAUGGUAAGGUAACCCAGGUGCUUUGUAUAAGCAGUUAUUUUAAGGCUUUGAACCAAGACAAAAGCAGAACUGAAGGUAAAUAAAGGCAACAGUAGUAUACCGCUGUUCAAAACUCAUAAAUCCAUGGACAAAAAAACAAAAUCGGGGUAACAAACUAAAACCGAGGGAAACGCAUUAAAUAUAAGAGGAGAAC